GAUUGAACGCUGGCGGCAUGCCUUACACAUGCAAGUCGAACGGCAGCACGGGUGCUUGCACCUGGUGGCGAGUGGCGAACGGGUGAGUAAUACAUCGGAACAUGUCCUGUAGUGGGGGAUAGCCCGGCGAAAGCCGGAUUAAUACCGCAUACGAUCUACGGAUGAAAGCGGGGGACCUUCGGGCCUCGCGCUAUAGGGUUGGCCGAUGGCUGAUUAGCUAGUUGGUGGGGUAAAGGCCUACCAAGGCGACGAUCAGUAGCUGGUCUGAGAGGACGACCAGCCACACUGGGACUGAGACACGGCCCAGACUCCUACGGGAGGCAGCAGUGGGGAAUUUUGGACAAUGGGCGAAAGCCUGAUCCAGCAAUGCCGCGUGUGUGAAGAAGGCCUUCGGGUUGUAAAGCACUUUUGUCCGGAAAGAAAUCCUUGGCUCUAAUACAGUCGGGGGAUGACGGUACCGGAAGAAUAAGCACCGGCUAACUACGUGCCAGCAGCCGCGGUAAUACGUAGGGUGCAAGCGUUAAUCGGAAUUACUGGGCGUAAAGCGUGCGCAGGCGGUUUGCUAAGACCGAUGUGAAAUCCCCGGGCUCAACCUGGGAACUGCAUUGGUGACUGGCAGGCUAGAGUAUGGCAGAGGGGGGUAGAAUUCCACGUGUAGCAGUGAAAUGCGUAGAGAUGUGGAGGAAUACCGAUGGCGAAGGCAGCCCCCUGGGCCAAUACUGACGCUCAUGCACGAAAGCGUGGGGAGCAAACAGGAUUAGAUACCCUGGUAGUCCACGCCCUAAACGAUGUCAACUAGUUGUUGGGGAUUCAUUUCCUUAGUAACGUAGCUAACGCGUGAAGUUGACCGCCUGGGGAGUACGGUCGCAAGAUUAAAACUCAAAGGAAUUGACGGGGACCCGCACAAGCGGUGGAUGAUGUGGAUUAAUUCGAUGCAACGCGAAAAACCUUACCUACCCUUGACAUGGUCGGAAUCCUGAAGAGAUUCGGGAGUGCUCGAAAGAGAACCGGCGCACAGGUGC
rnacentral:rRNA from 1 species